GUUCUUGCAAUAUAAAUGGUUAGUGCAUCUAGUUGGCAACUAGAAGAUCUGUGGUUAGAAUCCCAGCAAGAGCG
rnacentral:tRNA from 1 species